rnacentral:rRNA from 1 species
GAUGAACGCUGGCGGCGUGCCUAAUACAUGCAAGUCGAGCGAACAGACGAGGAGCUUGCUCCUCUGACGUUAGCGGCGGACGGGUGAGUAACACGUGGAUAACCUACCUAUAAGACUGGGAUAACUUCGGGAUACCGGAGCUAAUACCGGAUAAUAUAUUGAACCGCAUGGUUCAAUAGUGAAAGACGGUUUUGCUGUCACUUAUAGAUGGAUCCGCGCCGCAUUAGCUAGUUGGUAAGGUAACGGCUUACCAAGGCAACGAUGCGUAGCCGACCUGAGAGGGUGAUCGGCCACACUGGAACUGAGCCACGGUCCAGACUCCUACGGGAGGCAGCAGUAGGGAAUCUUCCGCAAUGGGCGAAAGCCUGACGGAGCAACGCCGCGUGAGUGAUGAAGGUCUUCGGAUCGUAAAACUCUGUUAUUAGGGAAGAACAAAUGUGUAAGUAACUAUGCACGUCUUGACGGUACCUAAUCAGAAAGCCACGGCUAACUACGUG